GAGAUCUCUUAUAGAAAGAGGGAGAUAAUUCGAAAAAAGGGGAAGACGUUACGCGCGGAGGGAAUACAGAGACGGAAAUCUAAAUAUUGCUAUCGAACCGUCUUUUUUCAGUGUUUCAAAGGUAUAAUUGUACACGGGUAUAAUAUUCAUGUACAAUUACAAUAUUGAUAUCGGCGAUCGAAGGACGCUGUGCCUCUACCCGAUGCAAAAAAAAAUGUGAACGAAGAGAAAAAAAAAAAAAAUUAUGAAAAAUAUAUCGAAAAUGAUGGAAAAAAAAUUAAUCUAAUCUAUAUGUAAUUAUAUGCAUAUAGAUAUCUCCCGUGUACGUCACAUGGUAUAUACAUAGUGUACAUACAUGUCUCUAUGUGUUUCAAUAUUUGUUACGUAU
rnacentral:misc_RNA from 1 species